rnacentral:rRNA from 1 species
CGCGUAGGCGGGUUGUUAAGAGAUAUGUGAAAGCCCCGGGCUUAACCUGGGAAGAGCAUGUUUAACUGAUGACCUGGAGUAUGAGAGAGGGUGAUAGAAUUUCCGGUGUAGCGGUGAAAUGCGUAGAUAUCGGAAAGAAUGUCGGUGGCGAAGGCGAUUGCCUGGCUCAAUACUGACGCUGAGGCGCGAGAGCGUGGGGAGCAAACAGGAUUAGAUACCCUGGUAGUCCACGCUGUAAACGAUGAGAACUAGAUGUGGGGCAGGAUACUGUUCUGUGUCGAAGCAAACGCGAUAAGUUCUCCGCCUGGGAAGUACGGCCGCAAGGUUGAA